rnacentral:rRNA from 1 species
AACGAACGCUGGCGGCAUGCCUAACACAUGCAAGUCGAACGAAGCCUUCGGGCUUAGUGGCGCACGGGUGCGUAACGCGUGGGAAUCUGCCCCUUGCUUCGGAAUAACAGUUAGAAAUGACUGCUAAUACCGGAUGAAGUCUUCGGACCAAAGAUUUAUCGGCAAGGGAUGAGCCCGCGUAGGAUUAGGUAGUUGGUGGGGUAAAGGCCUACCAAGCCGACGAUCCUUAGCUGGUCUGAGAGGAUGAUCAGCCACACUGGGACUGAGACACGGCCCAGACUCCUACGGGAGGCAGCAGUGGGGAAUAUUGGACAAUGGACGCAAGUCUGAUCCAGCAAUGCCGCGGGAGUGAUGAAGGCCUUAGGGUUGUAAAGCUCUUUUACCAGGGAUGAUAAUGACAGUACCUGGAGAAUAAGCUCCGGCUAACUCCGU